GUCCACACCACCUGCUGCUUCUCAAUUCUGCAUUUUCUUCUUGAUCUUGGAUCACCAAAAUCCCAGAAUUCGGACCCUCCGGUGGCGGCAUCGAAACCGACGGAGAGUCUCUGUACAGGGAAAGAGGCCUUGUCACAUGAAAUCGAAAAGAUGUACGACGAGGAAGAGCCAUCCUUGAAAGGGCUUUACGGUUUAAUUCGUUGAUUAGUAGUUGGAUAGCAGCCGGGGAAACAACUUUGCUUCUUCCUAUGGCUAAUAUUCAGCCGUACCUCUGUUUUUUUAUACCUUCAUGUGGCAAAAACAAUUGGCUUAAGAAGAAUGAAACAAAAUCUUCUGCUGAUAUAGAAGUGUGAACAAUUUUCUUCGCCAGUGUAUGUUUUUGGACGAUAGCAAGCUAUGAGGAUUUUUCUAAUUUGUUAUAUAGUACACUUAUUUAUGUUGUAAUUGUAUAAAAGUCAAAUUAUCAAAUUAUCAAAUAUCAGUCUAGUUCUGAUUUUAGAAAAGUCUAAAUUCUUGAAAACCCUGUAUUUUUUUUGUGAAGAAAUCUCUUAUUCCAUGUUCUACAA